AUCCGGCUGACGAGUCUGCAAUAGGACGAAGCGCGAGUCCUGGAU
rfam:Schistosoma curassoni strain Dakar, Senegal genome assembly, scaffold: SCTD_scaffold0002017